GGAGCAUGCGGCUUAAAUUCGACGCAACGCGAAGAACCUUACCAAGGCUUGGCAUAUAGGGAAAAGUGCCAGAGAUGUCAUGUCCACAAGGGCUCUAUACAGGUGGUGCAUGGUUGUCGUCAGCUCGUGUCGUGAGAUGUUGGGUUAAGUCCCGCAACGAGCGCAACCCUCGUUCUGUGUUGCCAGCAUUUAGUUGGGGACUCACAGGAGACUGCCGGGGUUAACUCGGAGGAAGGUGGGGAUGACGUCAAAUCAUCAUGCCCCUUAUGUCUUGGGCUGCACGCAUGCUACAAUGGCCGGUACAGAGGGCUGCAAUACCGUAAGGUGGAGCGAAUCCCAAAAAGCCGGUCUCAGUUCGGAUUGAGGUCUGCAACUCGACCUCAUGAAGUUGGAGUUGCUAGUAAUCGUAGAUCAGCAUCGCUACGGUGAAUACGUUCCCGGGGCUUGUACACACCGCCCGUCACGUCACGAAAGUCGGUAACACCCAAAGUCAGUGGCCCAA
rnacentral:rRNA from 1 species